rnacentral:rRNA from 1 species
GCUCGUAGUUGGNUUUCGGAGCGGCGCGGUUGGUCNGCCGCAAGGUAUGUNACUGGCCGCGCUGCUCUUCUUCGCCAAGACUGCGCGUGCUCUUAGUUGAGUGUGCGCAGGAUUCGCGACGUUUACUUUGAAAAAAUUAGAGUGUUCAAAGCAGGCUCGUGCUUGGAUACAUAAGCAUGGAAUAAUGGAAUAGGACUUUGGUUCUAUUUUGUUGGUUUCUCGGACCGAAGUAAUGAUGAAUAGGGACAGUUGGGGGCAUUCGUAUUUCGUUGUCAGAGGUGAAAUUCUUGGAUUUACGAAAGACGAACUAAUGCGAAAGCAUUUGCCAAGAAUGUUUUCAUUAAUCAAGAACGAAAGUUAGAGGAUCGAAGACGAUCAGAUACCGUCCUAGUUCUAACCAUAAACGAUGCCGACUAGGGAUCAGCGGGUGUUAUUGUAUGACCCCGUUGGCACCUUAUGGGAAACCAAAGUUUUUGGGUUCCGGGGGAAGUAUGGUUGCAAAGCUGAA